CACAAGUAAAUGUAAAUGUACCAGCUGGAGGAUGAGUCUGCACAUUUGGAUGAAAUGCCACUAAUGAUGUCUGAAGAAGGCUUUGAGAAUGAGGAAAGUGAUUACCACACCUUACCACAAGCCAGGAUAAUGCAAAGGAAAAGAGGACUGGAAUGGUUUGUCUGUGAUGGCUGGAAGUUCCUCUGUACCAGUUGCUGUGAUUGGCUGAUAAAUAUUUGUCAAAGAAAGAAAGAACUGAAAGCUCGCACAGUAUGGCUUGGAUGUCCCGAAAAGUGUGAAGAAAAACAUCCCAAGAAUUCUAUAAAAAAUCAAAAAUACAAUGUGUUUACCUUUAUACCUGGGGUUUUAUAUGAACAAUUCAAGUUUUUCUUGAAUCUCUAUUUUCUGAUAAUAUCCUGCUCACAGUUUGUACCAGCAUUGAAAAUAGGCUAUCUCUACACCUACUGGGCUCCUCUGGGAUUUGUCUUGGCUGUUACUAUGAUGCGGGAAGCAAUUGACGAAUUUCGGCGUUUUCAACGUGACAAGGAAGUGAAUUCCCAGCUAUAUAGCAAGCUUACAGUAAGAGGUAAAGUGCAAGUUAAGAGUUCAGACAUACAAGUUGGAGACCUCAUCAUAGUGGAAAAGGUCGAUGAAUUUUUAAUAUAUUUUAGACCUAUAUUUACUAGUUAUUAAUGUUUAGCCUGAUUGCAAGUAACUUCUGAAUUUGAAAGAAAUUAAGACAUGUAUUUAAAAUUAUAAUAUCCUGUGUAAGAUUUGGUGUAUGUGAAGAAGAAUCUAGAUUUUUGUAUAUUCUGUUUUACUAAAGUAUAUUUCAGUGUGUGCAGGCAAAUUGAUUUUUUUCUAAAACAAGAAGUGUUAACUGCU